ensembl:lncRNA
GUUGUGGUUGUGGGGCUGGUGUGGUGGGUGGUUGUGGGGGCUGGUGGUUGGGGUUGUGGGGCUGGUGGUGGUGGUGGUUGUGGGGCUGGUUGUGGGGCUGGUUGUGGGGCUGGUGGUGGUGGUUGUGGGGCUGGUUGUGGGGCUGGUGGUGGUGGUUGUGGGGCUAGUGGUUGGUGUGGGGGUGGUUGUGGGGCUGGUGGUUGGAGUGGGGCUGGUUGUAGGGCUGGUUGUGGGGCUGGUGGUUGGGGCUGUGGGGCCUGGGUGGUGGGGGUGGUUGUGGGGGCUGGUUGUAGGGCUGGUUGUGGGGCUGGUUGUGGGGCUGGUGGUUGGAGUUGUGGGGCUGGUUGUGGGGCUGGUUGUAGGGCUGGUUGUGGGGGUGGUUGUGGGGCUGGUGGUUGGGGCUAUGGGGGUGGUUGUGGGGCUGGUGUUGGUGGUGGUUGUGGGGCUGGUUGUGGGGCUGGUGGUCAGCGUUGUGGGGCUGGUGGUGGGGCUGGUGAUGGGGCUGGUUGUGGGGCUGGUUGUGGGGCUGGUUGUGGGGCUGGUGGUUGUGGUUGUGGGGCUGGUGGUGGUGGUUGUGGGGCUGGUUGUGGGGCUGGUGGCUGUGGUUGUGGGGCUGGUGGUGGUGGUGGUUGUGGGGCUGGUGGUUGGGGCUGUGGGGCUGGUUGUGGGGCUGGUGGUGGUGGUUGUGGGGCUAGUGGUUGGUGUGGGGGUGGUUGUGGGGCUGGUGGUUGGAGUGGGGCUGGUUGUAGGGCUGGUUGUGGGGCUGGUGGUGGGGCUGGUUGUGGGGCUGGUUGUGGGGCUUGUGGUUGGGGCAGUGGGGCUGGUGGUGGGGCUGGUGGUGGGGCUGGUGGUUGGAGUGGGGCUGGUUGUGGGGCUGGUGGUUGUAGUUGUGGGGCUGGUUGUGGGGCUGGUGAUGGGGCUGGUGGUUGGGGUUGUGGGGCUGGCUAUGGGGCUGGUUGUGGGGCUGGUUGUGGGGCUGGUGGUUGGGGCUGUGGGGCUGGUUGUGGGGCUGGUGGUGGGGCUGGUGGUUGGAGUUGUGGGGCUGGCGGUGGGGCUGGUGGUUGGAGUGGGGCUGGUUGUAGGGCUGGUUGUGGGGCUGGUUGUGGGGCUGGUGGUUGGGAUUGUGGGGCUGGUGGUUGGGGUGGGGGUGGUUGUGGGGCUUUCAGUGGUUGUGGGGCUGGGGGGUGUUGUAGGGAUGGGAGUGGUUGUGGGGCUGGUGGGUGGGGUGGGGGUGGUUGUGGGGCUGUUGGUGGUUGUGGGGCUGGGGGGUGUUGUCGGGAUGGGGGUGGUUGUGGGGCUGCUGGUUGGGAUAGGGGUGGUUGUGGGGCUGGUUGUAGGGCUGGUUGUGGGGCUGGUUGUGGGGCUGGUGGUUGGGAUUGUGGGGCUGGUGGGUGGGAUCGGGGUAGUUGUGGGGCUGGAGGAUGGGGUUGUUGGGUUAGGGGUGGUUGUGGGGAUGGAGGUGGUUGUGGGGCUGUAGGGUGUUGUAGGGAUGGGAGUGGUUGUGGGGCUGCUGGUUGGGAUGAGGGUGGUUGUGGGGCUGGAGAAUGGGGUUGUUGGGUUAGGGGUGGUUAUGGGGCUGCUGGUUGGGGUUGGGGUGGUUGUGGGGCUGACGGCAGUUGUAGAGCCAAUGGAGGUUGUGGGGCUGCCGGUGGUUAUGGGGCUGCCGGCUGUUGUAGAGCCAUUGGUGGUUGUGGGGCUGUCAGGUGCUGUAGAGCCAAUGGUGGUUGUGGGGCUGUCGGGUGCUGUAGAGCCAAUGGUGGUUGUGGGGCUGUUGGGUGCCGUAGAGCCGGUGUCGGUUGUGGGGCUGCCGGUGGUUGUGGGGCUGAAGGCAGUUCUGGGGCUUUCAGGUGUUGUAGAGCCAAUGGUGGUUGUGGGGCUGUCGGGUGCUGUAGAGCCAAUGGAGGUUGUGGGGCUGAUGGCUGUUGUAGAGGCGGUGGUGGCUGUGGGGCUGCCGGUGGUUGUGGGGCUGAUGGCUGUUGUAGAUCCAGUGCUGGUUGUGGGGCUGCCGGCUGCUGUGGGGCUGCCAGCUGUUGUGGAGCCAAUGGAGGUUGUGGGGCUGUCAGGUGCUGUAGAGCCAAUGGUGGUUGUGGGGCUGAUGGCUGUUGUAGAGGCGGUGGUGGUUAUGGGGCUGUCGGUGGUUGUAGAGCCAAUGGUGGCUGUGGGGCUGCCGGUGGUUGUGGGGCUGACGGCAGUUGUAGAUCCAGUGGUGGCUGUGGGGCUGCCAGCUGUUGUGGAGCCAAUGGAGGUUGUGGGGCUGUCAGGUGCUGUAGAGCCAAUGGUGGCUGUGGGGCUGCCAGCUGUUGUAGAGCCGGUGGCGGUUGUGGGGCUGCCGGUGGUUAUGGGGCUGUCGGUGGUUGUAGAGCCAAUGGUGGCUGUGGGGCUGCCGGUGGUUGUGGGGCUGUUGGGUGCUGUAGAGCUGCCGGUGGUUGUGGGGCUGACGGCAGUUGUAGAUCCAGUGGUGGCUGUGGGGCUGCCAGCUGUUGUAGAGCCAAUGGAGGUUGUGGGGCUGUCAGGUGCUGUAGAGCCAAUGGUGGUUGUGGGGCUGAUGGCUGUUGUAGAGGCGGUGGUGGUUAUGGGGCUGUCGGUGGUUGUAGAGCCAAUGGUGGCUGUGGGGCUGCCGGUGGUUGUGGGGCUGACGGCAGUUGUAGAUCCAGUGGUGGCUGUGGGGCUGCCAGCUGUUGUGGAGCCAAUGGAGGUUGUGGGGCUGUCAGGUGCUGUAGAGCCAAUGGUGGCUGUGGGGCUGCCAGCUGUUGUAGAGCCGGUGGCGGUUGUGGGGCUGCCGGUGGUUAUGGGGCUGUCGGUGGUUGUAGAGCCAAUGGUGGCUGUGGGGCUGCCGGUGGUUGUGGGGCUGUUGGGUGCUGUAGAGCUGCCGGUGGUUGUGGGGCUGACGGCAGUUGUAGAUCCAGUGGUGGCUGUGGGGCUGCCAGCUGUUGUAGAGCCAAUGGAGGUUGUGGGGCUGCUGGUGGUUGUGGGGCUGCCAGCUGUUGUAGAGCCGGUGGUGGCUGUGGGGCUGCCGGUGGUUAUGGGGCUGUCGGGUGCUGUAGAGCCAAUGGAGGUUGUGGGGCUGAUGGCUGUUGUAGAGGCGGUGGUGGCUGUGGGGCUGCCGGUGGUUGUGGGGCUGAUGGCUGUUGUAGAUCCAGUGCUGGUUGUGGGGCUGCCGGCUGCUGUGGGGCUGCCAGCUGUUGUGGAGCCAAUGGAGGUUGUGGGGCUGUCAGGUGCUGUAGAGCCAAUGGUGGUUGUGGGGCUGUCGGGUGCUGUAGAGCCAAUGGUGGUUGUGGGGCUGUUGGGUGCCGUAGAGCCGGUGUCGGUUGUGGGGCUGCCGGUGGUUGUGGGGCUGCUGGUGGUUAUGGGGCUGGUGGUGGUUGUGGGGCUGCCAGUGUCAGUUAUGGGGCUGCCGGUGGCUGUGGGGCUGUCGGUGUUUAUAGAGCCGUUGGUGGUUGUAGAGCUGUUGGUGGUUAUGGGGCUGGCGGUAGUUGUGGGGCUGCCGGUGGUUAUGGGGCUGACGGGUGCUGUCGAUCCAAUGGUGGCUGUGGGGCUGCUGGUGGUUAUGGGGCUGCCGGUGGCUGUGGGGCUGUCGGUGUUUAUAGAGCCGUUGAUGGUUGUAGAGCCGUUGGUGGUUGUGGGGCUGCCGGUGGUUAUGGGGCUGCCGGUGGCUGUGGGGCUGGCAGUGGUUAUGGGGCUGUUGGUGGUUGUAGAGCUGUUGUCGGUUAUGGGGCUGCCGGUGGCUGUGGGGCUGUCGGUGUUUAUAGAGCCGUUGGUGGUUGUAGAGCUGUUGGUCGUUAUGGGGCUGGCGGUGGUUAUGGGGCUGUCGGUGGUUGUAGAGCCGUUCGUGGUUGUAGAGCUGUUGGUGGCUGUGGGGCUGUCCGGUGUUGUACAGUUGGUGGCGUUUGUAGAGCCAAUGGAAGUUAUGGGGCUGCGGUUGCUGAGGCUGUGGGCGCCGUCCGCCCCCAUCGCUGCAUUCCCUGCGUGGCGGUGGUGGUCUUCUCAGUGCUGCCCCCCCACUCUGCAUCCCCCCCAUCUCCUCCCCUCCCCCACUCUGUGUGCCCCCCCAUCUCCUCCCCUCCCCCCCCCAUG